GCGAGAUCGAGAGAUGGAGCAAAUCCCAAAAAUAACGUCCCAGUUCGGACUGUAGUCUGCAACCCGACUACACGAAGCUGGAAUCGCUAGUAAUCGCGGAUCAGAAUGCCGCGGUGAAUACGUUUCCGGGUCUUGUACACACCGCCCGUCACACCAUGGGAGUCAGUAACGCCCGAAGUCAGUGACCUAACCGAAAGGGAGGAGCUGCCGAAGGCGGGACGGAUGACUGGGGUGAAGUCGUAACAAGGUAUC
rnacentral:rRNA from 1 species